UACAGAGGGUGCAAACGUUGUUCGGAAUUACUGGGCGUAAAGCGCGUGUAGGCUGCUGCGAAAGUCAGGUGUGAAAGCCCCGGGCUCAACCUGGGAAGGGCAUCCGAAACUGGCUGGCUUGAGUACGGAAGAGGGUCUCGGAAUUCCCGGUGUAGAGGUGAAAUUCGUAGAUAUCGGGAGGAACACCAGUGGCGAAGGCGGAGACCUGGGCCGAUACUGACGCUGAGGUGCGAAAGCGUGGGGAUCAAACAGG
rnacentral:rRNA from 1 species